CAUCAUGGCCCUUACGAGUAGGGCUACACACGUGCUACAAUGGCGUAUACAGAGGGCAGCGAUACCGCGAGGUGGAGCGAAUCUCACAAAGUACGUCGUAGUCCGGAUUGGAGUCUGCAACUCGACUCCAUGAAGUCGGAAUCGCUAGUAAUCGCAAAUCAGAAUGUUGCGGUGAAUACGUUCCCGGGCCUUGUACACACCGCCCGUCACACCAUGGGAGUGGGCUGCAAAAGAAGCAGGUAGUUUAACCUUCGGGAGGACGCUUGCCACUUUGUGGUUCAUGACUGGGG
rnacentral:rRNA from 1 species